rnacentral:lncRNA from 1 species
GAUUUUUCCAUUUUAAGGAGCUCAUCCCAGUUAUUUAAGGUCUUUUCCUGUCAUAUCAAGAAGGAAUUAUUGCCUUUCUGAACAAAAACGGAUAAUUUUAAACCAGCAGCUGCUGUCUUUAACUUUGUUUCUGUCUGUGCAGUGUAUAAAGACACAAGUCACAGCUCCUGCUGGACAGACAUGCAGAAAAUUGCUUGAAAGGUUACCCAAAACAAAACAACAAAGACAAAUGAAGGGGUGUGAAUCACCUGGAGUUAUUGGGUGUGGUGGUAAUUAUUAGUGGUUGAGUUUCAUUCAUAGGCUUCAUUAAAGAGACCAUUCACAAUCCCAGUUCUGUUCUUCCAUGCCAAUCGCCAGCACAUUGGUUUAUUUUAUCAUCUUAAAUCUAUCGGUUAAUACCUGUAUAUUUCCAGAA